rnacentral:rRNA from 1 species
UACGUAGGGUGCGAGCGUUAAUCGGAAUUACUGGGCGUAAAGCGUGCGCAGGCGGUUUUGCAAGCCGGAUGUGAAAUCCCCGGGCUCAACCUGGGAAUGGCAUUUGGGACUGCAAGGCUUGAGUGCGGCAGAGGAGACUGGAAUUCCUGGUGUAGCAGUGAAAUGCGUAGAUAUCAGGAGGAACACCGAUGGCGAAGGCAGGUCUCUGGGCUGACACUGACGCUCAUGCACGAAAGCGUGGGGAGCAAACAGG